rnacentral:tRNA from 1 species
CCUCCGAUAGCUCAGUUGGUAGAGCGCAAGACUGUAAUCGGAAACCCAUGUGAUCUUGAGGCCGCUAGUUCGAUCCUGGCUCGGAGGA